ACCAACAGGGAUUGCCCUAGUAACGGCGAGUGAAGCGGCAACAGCUCAAAUUUGAAAUCUGGCCUUCGGGUCCGAGUUGUAAUUUGUAGAGGAUGCUUUUGGCGCGGUGCCUUCCGAGUUCCCUGGAACGGGACGCCUUAGAGGGUGAGAGCCCCGUACGGUUGGACACCAAGCCUCUGUAAAGCUCCUUCGACGAGUCGAGUAGUUUGGGAAUGCUGCUCUAAAUGGGAGGUAAAUUUCUUCUAAAGCUAAAUAUUGGCCAGAGACCGAUAGCGCACAAGUAGAGUGAUCGAAAGAUGAAAAGCACUUUGAAAAGAGGGUUAAAUAGCACGUGAAAUUGUUGAAAGGGAAGCGUUUGCGACCAGACUUUUUCCUAGCGGAUCAUCCGGUGUUUUCACCGGUGCACUUUGCUAGGUUAAGGCCAGCAUCGGUUUCUGUAGGGGGAUAAAAGCUUGGGGAAUGUAGCUCCCUCGGGAGUGUUAUAGCCUCUUGCAUAAUACCCUUACGGGGACCGAGGACCGCGCUUUUGCAAGGAUGCUGGCGUAAUGGUUGUCAACGACCCGUCUUGAAACACGGACCAAGGAGUCGAACAUUUGUGCGAGUGUUUGGGUGUUAAACCCUCACGCGUAAUGAAAGUGAACGGAGGUGAGAGCCCUUACGGGUGCAUCAUCGACCGAUCCUGAUGUCUUCGGAUGGAUUUGAGUAAGAGCAUAACUGUUCGGACCCGAAAGAUGGUGAACUAUGCGUGGAUAGGGUGAAGCCAGAGGAAACUCUGGUGGAGGCUCGCAGCGGUUCUGACGUGCAAAUCGAUCGUCAAAUCUGCGCAUGGGGGCGAAAGACUUAUCGAACCAUCUAGUAGCUGGUUACCGCCGAAGUCUCCCCCUCAGAAUAUA
rnacentral:rRNA from 1 species